rnacentral:lncRNA from 1 species
AGCUCUAUGCUAACUUGCGUGAGACAUCUGUGCACAAUCCAUCCAGCUGUGAUUAAAUUCCUGGUUUCAGUGUUUGUGUGUGUGUGUUUCAAUUCAAAAAUUAAAGGCAAAUUCCUGUGGAAAGAGAUACUUGGAAAACGUCUGCAAAUCUAAAAACGCUGGACAUUUUAUAUGAAACAAGCAUAAGAAGACUCCAAAAGGUAGAGACAAGGCAGAAUUGCUGGGGAACUUGAGACCAAAGGAACAACACAUUAGUCAGUCUGAUAUCCACCACCCAGUUCUCCAGGUGGAAGAAUAAUCAAAGAGCCUUGGGGGAAAGAGGGAUUCUCAUGGUUGAAGAUGAUGAAGAUGUGAAGGCUGGAUUUGAUAAUGAAGAGUCUUCUUUGUGUUCUCUCAUUAUUUAUGCCACAUCUGCCUCUCAGCAUUUGUGUCAAUGAGUCACUGUAAUUACAGCCGUUGGAUAAUUUCCUCCGUUUUACAACACAAACCCGACUGUGUGAGUGCUCCAUCAGAGAAAAACAUUUAUUUCCUUGCAGCACCAUCAGGCAGCAAGGUCCAGCUUUC